GAUGAACGCUGGCGGCGUGCCUAAUACAUGCAAGUCGAGCGAACGGACGAGGAGCUUGCUCCUCUGACGUUAGCGGCGGACGGGUGAGUAACACGUGGAUAACCUACCUAUAAGACUGGGAUAACUUCGGGAAACCGGAGCUAAUACCGGAUAAUAUAUUGAACCGCAUGGUUCAAUAGUGAAAGACGGUCUUGCUGUCACUUAUAGAUGGAUCCGCGCUGCAUUAGCUAGUUGGUAAGGUAACGGCUUACCAAGGCAACGAUGCAUAGCCGACCUGAGAGGGUGAUCGGCCACACUGGAACUGAGACACGGUCCAGACUCCUACGGGAGGCAGCAGUAGGGAAUCUUCCGCAAUGGGCGAAAGCCUGACGGAGCAACGCCGCGUGAGUGAUGAAGGUCUUCGGAUCGUAAAACUCUGUUAUUAGGGAAGAACAUAUGUGUAAGUAACUGUGCACAUCUUGACGGUACCUAAUCAGAAAGCCACGGCUAACUACGUG
rnacentral:rRNA from 1 species